GCAGAUGAAUGGUCUCUCUGGCUACCUUUAGACUUUCUUAUCAGCUUGCAGCUGAGCCCGUGCUUUCCCCACACCCCACUUCGUAAUUUCUGCAUGUUUGGUUGUUCAUUGCAGUGUGUUUGGAAGCAGUUAAACCUGUGGUGCUGUGAAGAAUCUGGCCAGCAUACAGGUUCCCAGCCCUGAAAGUGAUACAGGUGUCAGCACAACCCAGCAGGCUUGACCCAGCUGAUCCACACCUUCCAAAUGUGCCUUUAGAGGCAACUAGAAACACCUGCCCUGCUUAUGAGAUGUUAAAAGUGUAAGGGUUCUCACUAAGGUAGUGCUCUAAGAUUUAGGUAAGGUGACUGUGACUGUCUCUGUUAUGAGGAGCUAGGCAGGCUGGUGCUCUGGUCUUGCUUGUGAUGCCAUAUGCAGCAGAAAUCAGAGCUGUCUUCUGGCAAAAAGGCUCAAAGGCUAAUCGUCUCCUUGCGGAGGCACUAGUGGAAGUGAUUGAGACGAAGGGGUGUCACAUCAUCUUGAUGCUGAAGAGCAUUUGUGGAAGUGGUUUUUCUGUAAUGAGCCAUAACGUGUUGUGUCUUCGCACACCUCUGAACAAGGCUAUGAACACAUCAGAAGAUUUUUCUAACAACUGGGUCAGCAGAAAAACAAAAGGAAGGUGGGAGCUGCAUCUGAAUACUUUAAACAGCUAA
rnacentral:lncRNA from 1 species